ensembl:lncRNA
UAUGCUAUUUCACAACACAUAAACCUGAAUAUCAGGUUUUGUGUGUACUGUGAUGUCUAUAUUUAAUAAUCUAGAUGCAUAUGGUUUAUAUUGAAAUCUAACUAUGUUUCAACAUUGUGAACCUGAUAUUGAUUUCAAUGACUCAUGUUUCAUUUUCUUGGUUAUUUCUUGUCGCAGAUGUGGUACAAAACAAAUGCAGAGCUCCAGUCUCGAGGAGGCUCAUGCUCUGCUAAGAGUAAACGUGUCGACAGCUGGUGGCUCUGUGAGGCUGUACUUUGAGCUAAAUGCUAACAUUAGCAUGGCAACAUGAGGAGGAAAAGUCAGUAGAUUUCAUCAUCGCGGCCAGACCACGAAUGUCUGUACAAAAGUGCAUGGUAAUACAUCAAAUAGUUGAAUUUUCAGUCUGGACCGACUGACAUUGCCAUCCCUAGAUUCAUGUCUAAUUGUGGCCAGAAAUCAUAAACAUUCAUUAGAAUUCCUUAAAAGUACCCUAAUCAAGUAAGUGCUAUUUGAUACUCUCCACUAUCACCAUAUCAGUACAUUAUGCAGCCUAAUAUCGCCUUGGCCUUUUAGUGCCCGCUUCAGAUGUGAUGUGUCGCUAUCAAGUGUCAGCAGCUCAGCACAGACUGGGGCCGUCUGAAGGACGUCUCUGGAAUUGAUCAAUAGUGGAAGGCCACUUCAUGGUGGCCUCUAACAUGGUGCUGGAUUGUAUUGUGUUGCAGGCACACAUAGACACACAAACUCCAUUUCUGCAUCCAGCUGCCCACGCAGAGAUUUGCUCAUUUCAGCAGUGGGGUUUGGAAGUAAGUCAAUGGAUUUCCCCUAAAUUCCACUUCUCCACUUCCUUCUAAUCCACUUCAGACUCCUCUUUCCCCUGCUGUAGCGGUAUGAUCGGUAUGUCUCGAACAUGCUUACUCUAACUAACACUAACUCUAACUUUCCUGUUUGUGGUUGUGGUUGUGGUUCCUGUUCUGAAACAUAGCAGAUGCAUGGCCAAAUAUAGGUCUGUGUGCAUUCAAUUUAUCUAAACCAGAAUAACUCAGUUCCUGGAUGUCUCUUUAUCUUUAUCGAUCCGCUGUACAACUGACAAAGAUGUUCCUCCCCCGGUCUCCUUCCUGGCGCAUCUUGAAUACGAGCGAUAUAUACAGAAGAUGAGAGGGUUGGCAUGAGGAAAACAAAUGGAAGCAGUGUUUCUGCUGUGCCACCUCAAUGUUCUCAGAUUAUGUAACUGCAUCCCUCAAUGGAAACCAAUCUCACAAGCCAAACCGCUUUGUCAAAACCUGCAAUGGGUCGCCAAAUGAUAUUUGUGCCUUCCAAAAUGUUGAUUUUUUUCAAACAUUUCUAAGACAAUAACAACUGAGCUCUUCAUUUUGACCCUUGAUGGUUACUUCUAAGGUUGGUUUCUUGAGCCUGCUAGCAAACAAGCAUCUACACUACAUGUUUUAUUAGGUCCCUACUGAAGCAAGCAUGUCUGAAAUACAUUUGGCAGUAGCAUAGCGGUACAGUUGAUGCCUUUUCAAAUCAGCAGUGUGACAUAAUGGCAAUUCAACUAUUACUUAACCUUUGUAUUAUGUUAUGGGUCAAUUUGACCCAUUUCAGUUUUCAGUCCUUGUCAGCGUUGUAAUGUCAUCUCUCUGAGACACACAAUAAAAAAAUAGCUCCAAAAGAUUUACAACGAAAGAAGCUUUAUCACAGAUUCUGGACUGUGAUAGUGAUGUAGAGGAAGAGGUUUCAGAGACCGAGGACAAUACUAUUGACGAUCCGGAUUAUGAACUUUCCUACGAUGAAGAUGAUUCAGAGGACGAUCCUGCCGUAGUCUCUCCAUCUCCAAUGAUAUUCAAUCAGCAUUUCAGCUCUUCAUAUCCCCACCAAUAGAGAGGAUCAUACUGGACAUGACCAACUUGGAGGGGAGGGGCGUGUAUGUCAAGAGAAAUGGAAGCCACUGGAUCAGAUUGACUUGCAUUCAUACAUUGUAAUCCUGGUAUUAGCCGGAGUGUACAAGUCAAGGGGAGAAGCAGCUGCCAGUCUAUGCAAUAAAGAGAAUGGAUGGCCAAUCUUUCGAGCAACAA